AAUAUCUAACGUCAUGGAAAAUAAUUUCUAAUAAAAUGGAUUAUUUUAAAAUAUUUUCCUGCCCCACUCCCCCCUCUCUUUCCCGAGCACUUCAGCCUAUCUAUCUACUUUCCUGCUAUAUAACGGUGAAGUUUUUGUGGUAUGUUAUUAUUUUGGGUUUUCCAUCACCAUGGAUUCUUAUGAAGCUGCUAACAUGGUGUUUUCAAGGAUCCAAAACUUGGAACCUGAAAAUGCCUCAAAAAUCAUGGGCUACCUUCUCUUGCAAGACUAUGGAGAGAAACAGAUGAUACGUUUUGCCUUUGGACCAGAGACCCUUCUGCACAAUCUCAUUCUCUAUGCCAAAACCCAACUGGGAUUUCUCUCAAACAAAACCUCUUCACCUUUUAUUCCUGCCUCUAGACCCAGUCCCUUGUCCAUCCCCUCUUCAAGAAUCACAAACAACAAUGGCUUUGACAUCACAAACCCCUCUUCUCCCUCUGCAAACUCUUGGCAGUUUUCGACUCCCAACUCCAAUUCUCCAUUCUCUUAUGCCAGUGUUGUUACUGGAACCAGUAGUAGUAAUGCUAGUUCAACACCUUUUCAGUCCACCGUCUCGUUAUCUAAUGCGUUUCCUUACAGCAAUAACAAUACUAGUGCCAGUGAUCUCGCAGAUGAAUAUGAACUCCAGGAUCGCUUUUCCUUUCUCAAUGAUUCAAAGACCGAUGGUUUAUUUGAUCCAAGGGCGGAGUUAGCCACGAGUCCAACGGAAUAUCGUGAUAACGGUUCGCACAAGCGAAGUUUUUCAGUACCAGACACGUGUGUUGGUUCGGAAGAUUCAAAUUCCGGGUCUGGUUGGAAGCCUUGCUUAUAUUUUACGAGAGGGUUUUGCAAAAAUGGUUCAGGUUGCAGGUUUGUUCAUGGAGAUUCGGCUAAUAGUACUGCUGCCAUUGUUGGUUCACCAGGUGAACUCUUCGAGUUUGAACACUGUCUACAAAUACUUAGGUCAAAGGCAGCUGCCCAGCAAAAGAAGCUAGCAGCAGCCUCCCAGUUCAUGUCUGGAUCUAAUUUUUUAUCUCACAAUAAAAGCUUGGACUUCCUUCAUCAGCAACAAAAUGACAGCCAAAGAUCAGCUGCGGUAGCUGCAUUGAUGAUGGGGGAUGAGCUUCACAAGUCUGGAAGAAUCCGGCCUGGAAGGAAUGAUUUUUCGCAAAUUGGACUGGGAGGGGCAACGAGCCCAAGUUCAAGACAGAUCUAUUUGACAUUCCCAGCUGAUAGCACGUUCAGAGAAGAAGACGUUUCAAAUUAUUUUAGCAUUUACGGGCCCGUGCAAGAUGUGAGGAUCCCAUACCAGCAGAAGAGAAUGUUUGGAUUUGUUACAUUUGUGUUUGCAGAGACAGUGAGGCUUAUUUUGGCAAAAGGGAACCCGCAUUUUGUAUGUGAUUCCCGUGUGCUUGUUAAGCCUUACAAGGAGAAGGGAAAAGUCCCAGACAAAAAGCAUCAUCAACAGCAACAGAUUGAGAGGGAAGAUUAUUCAGCUUGUCCAAACCCAUCCAGGUUCAAUUCCAGAGAGCCAUUUGAUCUCCAUAUUGGAGCUAGAAUGUUAUACAAUACUCAAGAGAUGCUGAGCAGGACAUUAAAGGAAGAGGCUGAUUUCCAGCAAGCUACUGAAUCUGAAGGGAGAAGGCUAUUGAAUCUGCAACUUCUAGACUUGAAAAAUAACAAUCAUCAUCAGCAACAUCGAUACCUUCAUGGUUUGUUAACUGGGUCUCCGCCCUCACCAACUAUCCUGCACAGUCCCAACAAUCAAACUCUAGCUUUUCCUGUUGAUGACAUUGAUCAAGAUGUUCCUCGAGGUAAUGGUGGCAACCCUGAUGCUGCAGUUGCUCAAAAUGCUGUUUCAGAUGUUGACAAGGAAGGGAUUCCAGCUUGCGAUCACAAUGAUGGCAAUAGCAAUCACAGAGAUAAAGAGGAGAAGUCCAACAAUGAAGAAAGCUAUCUCCAUGGAAAUUUGGAGCAUAUUCUCCCAGACAAUCUCUUUGCUUCUCCUAAGAAAUCAGCUGGUGAUCCCCUCACUGUCUUCUUCGCAGCUUCCGUGGAGGCUGAUGAAAAUACCACAAGCCCAGGUUGUCUUCUGGGCCUGGAACCGUUGGCAUAAAACACAAGCCCAGCAGUGGAUUGAUUUGACAAUUUUUUAGGGUGAGAGAUCAGCAAAAUUUGUGUAAUGAAAAUUAUAGAUAUAUUGGAAGCACAUACAGAAGUAAAAGAAAUCCUCGAGCUUGUAGUAGCCAAAAAACCAUACCCACGACAAAGAAAAGGAUCUGUAGACCAGAUCUCAGCAAAAUCACCCUCGUCAUCAAACCACACUACUUACAACUAAUACAUAAAAGCAUACAUAAAAGAGCAGGUGAACUGCAAGGGAGUGGGGUCUCCCUAUCUGCGGUUAUGUACGUGCUGGGGGACCACUCAACAAUUGCGUUGCAGAACAAACAAAGUCCAGUAGUUAAUCCCUUAUUUGUAAUUCAAGUGCUUUUCUUUAUUUUGUUUUACCCUCCUUUUAGUAUGAGGCGAAAAGAAAUAGAAAUUAAGACUGUAUGGAAGAAAAAUACUACUUCUUACGUCACUGUGUACAGAGAUAGACCCCAGUAAGGUAAGAAGAUCUGUAGCAGCAGAAGUACAACCACUGGACACCAAGACAGACCUUAAAAGGCAAAGAAAUGCAAUGGCUCAAGCGGAGUGCAAGGGCUGUGCUUCUACAGUCACAGUGUCCUGUGCCCGCCCUUAGAUUAUAGAACACGUAGAGCUCUAUUUCUGGGGAAAAAAAUAUAGUCGAGGGUAAAUAAAAGAUUGUUAUUUCAUGUGAAUAAAAUCUACUUUAAGGGAACUAAAUCCUUUUGUCUCA